UGUCACAUGGUCAUCUCUCUGUGUCUUUUCUCCUCUUCUUAUGAGGACACCAGUCAUACUGGAAUGAGAGUAUACCUACUCAGGUAUGACCUCAUCUUAACAUACAACUGCAAUGACCCUAAUAAGGUAACUUUCUGAGAUAUGAGGAGUUAGGACUUUGACAUAUCUUCUGUUGGGGGGACACAGUUCAACCUGUAACAGGUUUCUUGGGGCCAUGGUCCAGUUGUUUGUACUCACACUUCAGACAGCCAUUGCCCAAGAAUUGUCCCCUGUGGGAAGACAUUUGGGGUAAGGUGGCACCCAUAUGCCAAGGACAGGUCUCAGGAGAAGGGGGCAGCUAUGCUCUUCAGCAGCCAACACUCACAGCAGCUGGGGAAUGGGUGUGUCAGCAAGUAAAGGGGAUAUGGGCCCAGCACCCAUUGGAUCUAGAUGGGCAAAUUGUUUAACCUCUCUAUGCCUCAGUUUCUUCAGGUGGAAAAUAGUUGUAGAGUGGCUGCCUCAGGGAUAGGUUAGGAUGGAAAUAAUUCAUAUUCUUAGAACAGUGCCUGACACAUGGUAAGCCCUUGGAAAUGUUAGCUAUUAUUAAUGACAAUUUGGGCCAUGGUGGGUGUGAGAGGCUCUGAGGAGUGAAGUGACUUG
rnacentral:lncRNA from 1 species